GAUGAACGCUGGCGGCGUGCUUAACACACGCAAGUCGAACGAAGCAUUUGCGACAGAUUUCUUCGGAUUGAAGUUGCUUAUGACUGAGUGGCGGACGGGUGAGUAACGCGUGGGUAACCUGCCUCAUACAGGGGGAUAGCAGCUGGAAACGGCUGGUAAUACCGCAUAAGCGCACAGUACCACAUGGUACAGUGUGAAAAACUCCGGUGGUAUGAGAUGGACCCGCGUCUGAUUAGCUAGUUGGUGAGGUAACGGCCCACCAAGGCGACGAUCAGUAGCCUACCUUCGAGGGUGACCGGCCACAUGUGGACUGAGCCCCGGCCCAGACUCCCACGGGAGGCAGCAGUGGGGAAUAUUGCACAAUGGAGGAAACUCUGAUGCGGCGACGCCGCGUGAGUGAAGAAGUAGUUCGCUAUGUAAAGCUCUAUCAGCAGGGAAGAUAGUGACGGUACCUGACUAAGAAGCUCCGGCUAAAUACGUGCCAGCAGCCGCCGUAA
rnacentral:rRNA from 1 species